CUUUGGCUAUGAUAGGUUUGAUCUAAUUUAAUUUGCAAAUCAUUUGUUGAAUACUUCAGGUAUAGGAGAGAGUAAUCUAUAAUAGCAUUUAUUCUUCAUUGAUUUAAAAUUGUUUGUUAUCUUCAGUUUAUUUUAGUGACCUUAGGUACUAUAUGGAUAAUAGAGUAAAUGAGUAAUAGAGGGAAAAAAGGAGCCAUGUGUAUUUUAAAGUGUUACUAAUAUAUACUCUCUAAACAGGUGGUACCAGGAGAGACUGCACUAGCAUUUUAUAAAGCUAAGAAUCCUACUGACAAACCGAUAAUUGGAAUUUCUACAUACAAUGUUGUACCAUUUGAAGCUGGGCAGUAUUUCAAUAAAAUUCAGUGCUUCUGUUUUGAAGAACAAAGGCUUAAUCCCCAAGAAGAAGUAGAUAUGCCAGUGUUUUUUUACAUUGAUCCGGAAUUUGCUGAAGAUCCAAGAAUGGUGAACGUUGAUCUCAUCACUCUUUCUUAUACUUUUUUUGAAGCAAAGGAAGGGGAAAAAUUGCCACUUCCAGGCUAUAACUGAAGUAGCAACCAAGACCUGCUUCAAAUUUGUGAUUUUUGAAAAAUCAUUUAUCCUGCCUUCUCUGAAGAGAAAUAUUCUACAAUCGUGUAAAUUGAAGCUUCUAUUGUUAAA